rnacentral:rRNA from 1 species
AGCCUGAACGCUGGCGGCGUGGCUAAGACAUGCAAGUCGUACGGGGUCCGCAAGGAUCCAGUGGCGAACGGGUGAGUAAAGUAUCGCUAACGUACCCCUAUGUCCGGGAUAGCUGGGGGAAACUCCAGGUAAUACCGGGUGACAUCACUUUCUCGCAUGAGAAGGUGCUCAAAGGGAAACCGCAAAGGGAGCGGGCGAUAUCGUAUCAGCUAGUUGGUGAGGUAACGGCUCACCAAGGCUAUGACGCGUAGCCGGACUGAGAGGUCGGACGGCCACAUUGGGACUGAGACACUGCCCAGACUCCUACGGGGGGCUGCAGUAACGAAUCUUCCGCAAUGCACGCAAGUGCGACGGAGCGACGCCGCGUGUGGGACGAAGUCCUUCGGGAUGUAAACCACUGUCAGGGGUUACCAAGUUCUGAGGAACCCCAGAGGAAGGCACGGCUAACUCUGCGCCAGCAGCCGC